AUACAGAUAGCUCAGCCAGUAGAGCAUGAGACUCUUAAUUUCAGGAGAGUGGGUUCAAGCCCCAUGUUGGACA